rnacentral:rRNA from 1 species
UACAGAGGGGGCAAGCGUUGUUCGGAAUUACUGGGCGUAAAGGGCGCGUAGGCGGCCUUCUAAGUCGAACGUGAAAUCCCUGGGCUCAACCCAGGAACUGCGUCCGAUACUGGAAGGCUUGAAUCCGGGAGAGGGAUGCGGAAUUCCAGGUGUAGCGGUGAAAUGCGUAGAUAUCUGGAGGAACACCGGUGGCGAAGGCGGCAUCCUGGACCGAUACUGACGCUGAGGAGCGAAAGCCAGGGGAGCAAACGGG